GAGUAUGCCAUGCGUUGCAAGUGCUUCAUCACACAACCUAUCAAGGAGACUUCCGCAGAGAGCAAGUCUGGGGUGUUGCUACUUAGGCCUCAACUACAAUUUCAUUCAAGUAGUCUGAAGCGGAAAAUGAGUUUCUCCUGUUUAUUUUCAUGCCUUAAUUUUUGGAUGAAUUGUGCCAGUGCCGGGAGUUGGCUUUUCACACCAUUCAGGAUAUGAAAAGACAUCAAAGGUGGACAUUGGUGGAACUGCAGUAGAAACUGGAACUUCCCACCAAUAUUUCAUUACAUUUUGAUGCCAUGUGACAGAUGUCAGAAGAGGAGCAGUCUACCAGAGUGGCAUCUGACAUGGAAAUGAG
ensembl:lncRNA